CAGCCUUAUUCCAUUUGCGCAGCUACACGGAUUCCCUACAAGCUGUCCUCUGAGAUACUGCAGCUUACUGCCUCCACAGCCAGUGGAAGAAACCUGCCCUUCAGCAUUUACAGGAGUGUAUUGUUUAAUAGGAUUAUAUUUAAAUUUCUAUAAAGGUUGUCAAUCCAAUGCUUAUGACUCAGAAUGGAAAAUUCCUCUGAGAAAGACUUCAUUUAACCAGCGACCUGCAGAUGCAGAGUGAGAGCAGAACACUAAAGAGAGGUUAUGAAUUUUUUUAAGCUAACCAGCUUUCCACCCUGGCUGCAACAGUCUUCUUACCUCUUAUGAAAUGUGGUAGAGAUGGUCUUCUAUUGGAAAUUGCUAAAUAGAAUGAAAAAACCUUUUGUCAAGUCCUGUUAGAUGUAUUUUGUCAUCUAUUUUCUAUUCAGAGCAAUUUCACCACAGCAGACUAAACAAAGACUUAAAUUAAUAUUGGGCAGACUUGUUUAGUAGCUACUGUCCACUGCUCUCUAACAGACGCUGAAUCGUUUAUUACUUUUAUACAACUUAAAAUGGCAGAUUGUGAAUUCAUCCAGUGACUGCUUUUAUUGUUACUUCUUAGACGCCUGCAAAACUCAUAAGAACAGAAAAUGUAAAGAGAUUUUCUGAAUUACUGAGUCCCAUCCUACGGUGCUAAAAGCAACUCUACAGAAUCCCUUUGAUAAAUGUCUCAAGCUCCAGGUAAAAGGUGGUUUCUUUCUUUUGCCCCCACUUAACCCUGCUGGAGAAAUGGUACAGACUGUCCUCACAAUUAGGAAUCUGUACAUUUCUGUCUAAAUGUAUUUAUUAUUAAUUUCUAACCAUUUUCUUUUGAGCCCUUUUCUUUCAAGAAGGCAUUUCUUCCCUGAGAUAUUUCUCAUAAAGUCUCUCAUCUAAUAAACAAGGAUGCAGUCAGUGUGGAUCAUUUAAUAAUUACAUGUAGCCAUAGAAUGGAUACAUGUGUAGAUCGCUCCAAAAGUAAUGCCUCCUACUUAUACCCAUGGAAGCUACAACAGCUACAGAGUAUGAUAAGAGUAGUUGAUAGAGCACGUUCUCAGCUACAAAAUUCAUCUUCUUGAAAAUGGGCAGACAGAAUCACAUGCAUUAUUUCCAGUCAGGUAAACUAGGGCCUUUACAACUGUACUAACACCUCCUUGGCUUUAGUAGCAGGCUCUUCCCUUGAAGUCCACGUGGCUUGCAUUUGCCCACCCAAGUCUCCAUGCUGGCAGCUCUGCACCAUGCUCACUUUCCUCAGCUGAGACACUUAAGCACAGCACUUCUUCCUACCGAAUUUCAUCUCGCUCCUAUGACUCAUCCUCAAAGCCAAAGUGUUCUUUCUGUCUGAUGUUUUGAUUCUCCUCAUAUGUGAAGACAAUAAAUAAUAGAUAAAGACAGCUCAUGUUGCAAAAUUAAAUAGGCUGCAGGUUAUGGAUUGCAGCACUUCUGAAAUCAAACACAUGUGACUAUAGAGACUUUGGCAAACAUUCUGUAUAUUCAAGAACAAUAUUAAAAACUGAGUAUGUCAUUAUUUUGUCAAAAUCAUUUUUCGGUGUAAGUAUGAAUUGAUUUUGUCUUUUCUUUUGGAGGUUUACAGUUCACGCAUUUAUUCCAGUCAGUCUACCUUAUACCAUACCUUAGGCAACCAGCGAACAAGGAAUUAGUGUGAAAGACAUCUCCAUACAACAGAGAUCUGCACAGUGCACUCUUUCACCCUUGACCUUGCAUGCAAAUGUAGCCAGAAAAGGAAGCAAAGACACAGUGCAGCAGUCAAACACACUUACACCUGCUUUGGACACUGUGAUUCAGGAAUACUUGGUUUGACAUUUUGGGUGAUAGAGCACCACAAAACUGACCCAACUGAGUUAUGCUGUGGUUGUAACCACGAACCCAGAAAAGAAAGUGUUUUUAUUUCUUAUGAUUACACACUGGAAUCCAGCUAGCAUUAACAAGCAGGAAAACGUAGUGACUAAAAGCUGCCUUCUCCUCUCACUCUAAGGGUAAGAUUUCUCAUAUUUUCUAGCUUUGAGACAUUUUAGAAAUGAUCACUGUAGAUAACAGAAAUCAAAACAAAAGCCGACUGCAAUGUGGGAUUAUUAAAAAUGAUACUGACUUAUUCCUUCUAAUUAGAACAAAUGACUUUCUACUACAGUUAAAAAGAACUUAGUUGCUAGCAAGUUGAGAGCAAAAUUAAACCCCUCAGAAGCAAACACCGUGCAGGCUAUGCUUAUGGAAAAUUAUUCUCACAGUAAUCAGCUGUACAUGCUGACACACUUGUUCUUUUCUGGUUGCCUAGUUGUCUACCAACCUCCCCUGGCUCCACGCCAUGACCUCUGUGAAAGAUCUGCUACAGCAGUAGCAAGUAUUUUCCCAGAAAGUCUCAUUAACUGUGCUGUGGCUUCUAGCUCACAAAUGGUUCUUGGUCUUAUCUCAAUUAUUGUGAAAGUGUUUUAAAUGAAGAUACUUGGUUUCAUUUUUAAAUUGAUACAAGAAAAUCCAAGGCCAAGAAAUCGAACUGGACAGAGCAGGUCAGCACAGCAUGUUAUGCAGUAUGAGCAAACACUGAAAAGUAAGUCCGAAGUUACAAUUUCUAACACAUGCAGUUCCAGCCCUCUUAAAAUCCACAAAAAUACCUCAUCAGCUGAAAAAUUAUAGGUUUGAAACAGAUAGAUAUAUUUGAACAAAAUUGAUGGUUGGCUUGAAGCGCUGUAGUGCCUGCAAAAAAACAAAAAACAAAAAACAAAAAACAAACAAACAAAAAAAAAGCGGUACAUACAUAUCUUCCAAAACCCAUUUGUUGCAAACAAGCAUAGAAAAAAAAAUCAAUUAAAGGAACUUAAAUAAAUGUCUCUACUUCAGUUUGUAGCCUACAGCGCUGGCAUUUAUCCACGCUGGUUUUAAGAGGCAAGAUGCAGAUGUCCCCCUCAAAGUUUAAUGCCUCCUCCCUUGACACAGCCUCUGGGUUCUCAUAGGUAUUUGUGAGGCACCAAGGCAUCAGACCAGGACGGGGCUUCAGGCACUACUGCGCUACAGACACAGCAAUAUUUUAGCUAAUACUCACUAAGAGAAAAAAAAAAAUAAAAAAUUAAAAAAAAAUGAGUAGUUCUCAUCAAAUUAGCAACUUCUACUUCUUUGCAAGGAGCACGACUUUGUUGGCAAGCAUGAAUAAAGUGGCAGAUAUUCAUGUAAUGCGCUGAUACCAUGUCUACCAUCUUAAUAUAGCAUGGAAAGAGUCUUUAAUUGAAUGUAACAAUAGGGCAGACAAAAAAAUACCAAUCAGAGUAACUUGCCUGCCUAUCUAAAUUCUAGAUAUUCCUUAGUUCUAACAGAAAUUUGAUUAGCUUUACUUACCAGGAUGCAUUCAAACAUAAAGAUUUUUAGGCUUCUUACUUCUGUGGUAGAAAACAAGGCAGACUGCAGGUUGUCUUGCUGAUGCACCAUAUACGUAAACAGCAGUCAAUUGCACAUAGUUUUGAAAAAGUUUGAUGGUUUUCAUCCAUCUUCUCAUGACAGUUUGCUAUACUUUCCAUUUCAUUUUGCUUAUAUACUAUUAAGCUUCUCUAUUUGUUAAGUGUGUUCUCUUUUUCCUCUAAAAACAAUUUGGGUCACCACACCAGAGGCUGUAGUUGGCCUGGAGCUGACAUAAAUAAUCUUGAACAAAAAAAUCAGGCUGAUCAAGAUAUGCAUGUUCUCAGUUUUGCUUUAUGAGGUGGAGCAACAAGCCUUCAAAAAUGAUAAUAUGUGAAGACUGCUGCUCUUUCUUUUCUUUUCUUUUUUCCCCUUUCAACAUUUGCAUUAACUAGCAAAACCACACGGACAAGAUGAUUAAAGAAGCUCUAACACAUAAGAGACAGCUUGAAGCAGCAGCAAAACCCUAGGUCUGGAUCUUUCUGCUAGAUGAAGGCUGAUUCUUGAUGGAAUCUGGCUCUUCAACCUUACUGGAGGGCAGCAGAAGAACAACAUGGCAUACCCUAGAGCUGCAGUGAGGAUCUGGUUUUGUAAGGCCCAGAACAACACCAUCAGGAACACUAUCAGGAACCAAGUAAACAAUUUACAGCUGAAAAGGAGGUCUAGAGAAGACACAAGAAACAAAGAUUCAAGUAACAGGCGCUACAAGUGAAGAAAAAGUUCUAGCUGGCACACACGUCAGCAUUUGUGCAAGAAAUGAAAGAACAUAUUGUCCUACUGCAUGGGUUCUCAGGCUUCAGUCUGCUCACUCUAGCGGCAAGGAUGCUCUUCUGCUGGCCGGCCCUCAAAUGGAGGAUUCUUCUACUGACACAACAGUUCCAUACUUAUAAGGAGUUAGCAGAGGCUUUACUAAUUAAAAUCAAACUUAAUUGUCAACUUUCAAACUCAGUCAUCAACUUUGCAACAUCUGUGGCUGCUUCAUGUCCUCCUGUGACUGAAAAUCAUAGGAUAUACAUUCAAGACAGAGAAAAAAGACAUGAUAGACUUCAGAUCCUCUUUAUUCCAGGCUGUUACCCACCUGAAACGAAUGACAUAAAAUCUCAGUGAAAGGAAAUACAGCGACUGGACUUGAAAUGAGCUGUAACUUGAUGAUCCAGUUCCCUUCAGAGCAGGCUGGGAUUCCCAAAUGCUUCAUGGUUCAGUACACAGACAGAAGUGAAGGAACUUCUUCUGAGUAAAAUAGCUAAUAUGUUAAUUGUCAUUGAUUCAGUAAUAAUUUAAACCCAAAUCUCUUAAAUGAGGUCUAUGUAGAAAAAAAUAAUGUGGCUUACUGAAAAAGAGAACUUGUACCUUCACAGUUCAAAAACCAUUUUCAACCACAAUGAGAGUUCCCUUUUUUGGUUACCACAAGUGGUUUCGCAGUAAGUGGACUGGUUUUCUACAGGCCCAGCCAGAAAGGGUGCUGAGGGAAAGGGAGCCUUUCCUUUUCUCUUUUGGUCUGUUCUUCUGCCGCCCUGUUAACAUACUCCGAGUGUGGUGACACUAAUCACACAUUCACAAUUGUGAUCUCCCCCAGCCAUGUUUAUGUGGUUGCUGCAGUGAUGUUUGUGCCUGUACCAUACUGUUUCACUUGCCAUUGAAGAUGAGAUUGAAGACAGAAGUUAGUUAGGAUUUAUUUUUCAUUUUUAAAUUUCAUUUCCCUUUAAUCUUGCUUGCUAUUCAGUGUAAUCAACUGUUGCCUCAUGUUAUAGAAAAUAAGAGAACCACACUGUAUGACCUGAGGGAAAAAAAUCAAGAUUUGAGAAACACAGUGCUGCUAAAACAAACAAACAAACAAACAAACCAUACAUAAAUCCCCGGAGAACUAAUUUAUUGCAUUCAGACUGUUCAGAAAUUCAAAAAAACUCUGAAAUAUACAACAAUUCGUGGCUCUAGGGAAAGAAAUAGAAACUCUUCCUUACCUUUUUUGCAUCAUUUUCUAUUGCAGAACAUUAUUUCUGAAAUCGGGUUAAUAUUUAAGGUCUGAAACUCAACAUAACUUUAGACUAGUUAUGGAAUGCAAUUUUCAGCCUGAAAAAAAAAUACUGAGAGUUGUAACAGUCCACAUUUAAAGACAAACUUCAGAGAGACAAAAUUUCUGUGAAAGAUAAGUCUGCCAAGGAUCAUCAAAUCUGUUUAUUAAAUAUGCAUCUAUAUUUCAAACCUGUAAAAUCACGCCACUUAUUUAUAUUGAUAUGAGUACGUCACUUCCAAUGUACUUGUUGUGAACUGGCAUCAUUGAGGAAUAGAAAAAUACAAAUUAGUAGCUGCUUCCCACAUGUUUAGAGGCAUCAGGAGUGGGCAACGCAGUUUGAAGCUUCGUACUACAGUAGAAAAUUCAGAGGAAAGCUUAGGAUAAACAAUGACAGCAAUUUCUCUAAGAGGUCAGAAAGAGCACUGCAAUUUCUUCAAAAUAUAGUCAGAUAAUUCUGGUUGGUGGUUUUGCUCAAUAGAAUUUUGCUUGAAAUUGGAUAUUUUAUGCAGGAAUAGCAGCUUUUUGCUGAUAUUACUGCAAAUGUAAAUACUAAAGGCAUAAAUCUAUUUCUCUUUGAGUCCCUCGUACUCAUCACCAGAUAGUGAUAUUUCCAUUUCACCUCAGGACUCACUGCUUUGCUGUGAUACAAAAACAGAAACAGCUUUUGCAUAAUUAAUGAAACACAAGAUCUGAAAAUAGUCCUUUUUUCUUCCCUUUCCUGUCUACCCCAUUAAAAAACCAAACAAAACCCAAACAAUAGAGCCUGAAAGUUGAAGGCCCUUAAGAAUAGCUACAAGCCAGCUGGUGUCAGAAGAACAGCAUGAAGCAAAAAGCAUCACAACUAAAAUCAGGACUCUGUUUGAAUGGAAGGAUCUACACCGUGAGGAACAAAUAGGAAAAGUUACCAGAAAUGAGGAAAAGAGCAACAAAUGCAGCGGGGCAGAGAUAUGAGGAGAGUACCAGUACUGGUGAAAUGUGCAUUAUAUUUUUAGCUAUUUACACUGUAACCACCAAGACAGGUACUUACAUUUCACUGAAACAGGCUCUGGCUAUAAAAUAAUUGUUAUGCAAGGGGAAAAAAAAAAGUGCUUUGUAAAGUGCUUCCAUGUGUUUUAUCUCUUUACAUACAUUUUCAACAAACGGAAUGCUGCCAAUAUUCCUUAGCUAAAAUAUUUCCCCUUCUACUAAAAUAUGCACAUACUUACAUAGUAAAGAAAUGAAGACUGAAGAACCUACAACUGAUAAAAAUGCUUUGAAAGUAUGGAUUCCUAUUGUUUGUUCUUUCUUUACAGUAAAGACCCAUGCCACUUCUGUGAAAGCUUCAUGCCGAGUCCUGUAUAUGCAUAUACAUUUUUUUUUUUGCUGAAAGAUUGGGAUUUUCCACUACUCAUUCUUCCUUCUGUUUUAGGACAUAGUUACAUGCUCUUUUAAGUAUGGGAAAAGGGGCUGCCAUCUGUUUCUGCCUGACCUUUUGGAAGAUAUGAAGUCAGCAGAGCUUCAUACAAAGAUUUGUGUUCACAGGUUUUCCCCUGGUGUUUCUCUAGUUCCCUUCCUCCUGUGCUUCUUCAGUUCUUCUAAUACAAAGCAUAUCAGCAUGGGGGUGUUGCUUUGUCUUCCAGAUGGACAAUUGAUUUAUCAGAGGAGGUAAAACCAACAUAUCACAGAAUUGUAGCUGUAGGAAGGGACCUCUGGGGAUCAUCGAGUCCAACCUUCUGCUAAAGCAAGUUCCCUCACAUUUGUAUGGUACUUCCCGUGUUCCACUUUGUGCCUAUUGCCCCUUGUCCAGGUUCUGCACAACACUGAAAAAAAGCCCCAUCCAUUUGACUCCCACGUUUCAGAUAUUUACAAAUAGUGAUGAGAUCCCCUCUUAGUCUUCUCUUCUCUGGGCUGAAUAGUUCCUGGUCUUUCAGCCUUUCCUCAUAUGGGAGAUGCUCCAGGCUCCUCCUCAUCUUCUCUCUCUAGAAGUUCCUUGUCAUUCUUGAGCUGAGGAGCCCAGAACUGGACACAGUACUCCAGAUGUGGCCUCACCAGGGCAGAGAGGGAGGAUCACCUCCCUCGACCUGCUGGCCACGCUCUUUUUAAUGCACCCCAGAAUCCCACUGGUGUUCACUUUUGUCCUCACGAAGCGUGAGCAUUUCUUCCACGCAGCCAAAGACAGCCUGGGCACACAGCAGCUGAGCUCAGUGUCUUUGAGCUUUGAAUGCCUUCAGCCUCCAUCUGUGCUGGAUACCGACACGUGGGGUGAAGCAGGGCGAGAGAGCUCUGCUGCCAGCAGGCACUGCCUGUAAGUAGUGUUUCUUCCCAGCUCUGCUGCCAACAGGCACUGCCUGUAAGUAGUGUUUCUUCCCAGCAGCUUCCCCUGGGAGCUCACAGUUCCCACUGCCGCUUGCAGUGUUUUACCUCCAGCUGCACGGCAGUGCGAUGGCUGACACCCAUUCCUCCGCGCCCCCCCCUGUGUGACUGUGCAAAGAGAGGGAAUUGCUUCUGCACAGCAAGAACGCAUCAUUAACCCCCAACGUAAGCGUGUGGUAAUGCAAUUGAUAAUUUGCAUGGUGAACCACAAAGAGACAUUCUCCUUCCAAUGACAAAAGGUCACAAAGGUUUUUGAGUUACAAAUUAAACCACGCUUGACUCAAAACUGGACAGGAGCUCAGCUCCCGAGGUGCCGCACCACACGAAGCCGGGCUGCCCCGAGUCUCCACUGUGCUGUCCAACUUCACUUAACGUUAACGGCGUUUGCUGAGGGCUCCUAGCAGAGACCUCCUUUCUCCCCCAAGUGAAUGCUCCGUGGCCCCGCUCGUGCUUUACAGACCCGGGGCUGAGAGCUUUGCAGCCAGCGAGGGGCCCGGCCGGCUGACCCCGCGGCCUCAGGAGCACCGCAUCCCACUGUGUCUCUUCCUCAUUCCUGGCUCCUUCCUCUUCCUCCUGUCGCACUCCCCACCCCGCCGCAGCCGCCGGGCCGGCCGGGCAGGUAUUGAGGGCAGGGCUGGGCGGCUCUCCCCG
rnacentral:lncRNA from 1 species